rnacentral:snoRNA from 1 species
CCCCUCUCAGGGUCACACCUGGAGAGUUUACAGUACUCUAUCAGUCCUGACUACGGUGGGAGAGUCAAGCAGAGGCCUAUCCAUUCCAUUCCUAGCUUGGUCAGUGGCUAGUGAAUAGAAGGCAAUCUGCUACAAGU